rnacentral:lncRNA from 1 species
CAGCAUUUUAUGUUUCUUUUGUACCUUUCCAGAGAAAUAUCCAUGUCAAUUAUUGACAAUCCUCAUAUUCAGCUUCUUUUAAAGCUGGAGGAGUUGGAGAAACAGCCUGGUCCUCUCCUCUCACCAUUCAUUUGGGAAAGCCAGGGCUUGACAGAUGCUCCCUCCGGAGGAGUGUGUAGUAGGAGAUGAAGUCUGGUGUCAGGUAACCUUGGGAAAGUUACUUACUCUCCCUAAUCUCACCGAUCCUGUGUUCUUUUAAUCUACACAAUAGAGCUACAAGUUCCUAGUCACAUAAAUAUUCUAAGACUGGCAUACAGCAGGAACCAACACAACUCUGUGCCCUGGGGUCGGGUUCCUCAAUGAGGAAAUGGCGGAGCUGGGGCUGUGAUCCAGGACGCUGGUUCUCAAGCCUGCUCCUGUUCCUCUGCCUGUGGUCCUUUCCCUCAUUCCCACACAGGCCUGCAGAUGCUCAGCACUGGUCCAGAAUAGCAACCACCAGGGCAUCCUCCCUGUUUUCUCUCCCUUGGAGGGAAGUGCAGUCAAUGGGGCCUGGGAACACCUAGAUGAGGAGGCACUGUCAUUUGCAAACACUUUUUUUUUUAACUUUAAUUUCUUGCACGGAAAUCAAAGAAAUAUCAUUCAACUAACUUCAUAAUAAGAGGCAAAUGCAGUUUCCUAACCCCAAAAUCUCCAG